rnacentral:rRNA from 1 species
AUUGAACGCUGGCGGCAGGCCUAACACAUGCAAGUCGAACGAGUGGCAGACGGGUGAGGAAUGUCUGGGACACUCCCUGAUGGAGGGGGGAAACUACUGAAAAAGGUAGCUAAUACCGCUUACAAUCGGAUGUGCCCAGAUGGGAUUAGCUAGUAGGUGGGGUAAAGGCUAACCUAGGCGACGAGCCCUAGCUGGUCUGAGAGGAUGAUCAGCCACACUGGAACUGGGACACGGGCCAGAGUCCUACGGGCGGCAGCAGUGGGGAAUAUGGCACAAUGGGCGCAAGCCUGAUGCAGCCAUGCCGGGUGUAUGAAGAAGGCUUUCGGGUUGUAAAGUACUUUCAGCGGGGAGGCGUUACCCGCAGAAGAAGCACCGGCUAACUCCGUGCCAGCAGCGGCGGUAUAC